AAAAAGAAAAACGCUGGUUUCCGCGCCCAACGUUUGACCGUCCGCCUUUAUUUGAAAAAAAUAUGAAAAAAAUAAAAAGACAAGUCAUGUAUAAAAUAUUAAUCAUGUUUUAUCAUCUAAUAAUAACAAAAAUACAAAUUAUAAAAAAAAUUCAUAUAAGACGGAAAGUCAAAGUUGAAUACGGAAACCAGUGUUUACUUUUUUU
rfam:Oryza barthii chromosome 9, whole genome shotgun sequence.